GGAGACGACGAUGACCGAUUUGUAACUGUAGUAAUAGACAACGAAGAAUCAACUCUGGAAUUUGUGAAUUUUUCAGAAGACGAGGAUCAAAGGUACCCAGUUGAUGCAUACAUUGUUGUAUUUUCCGUUUAUGAAAAGUCCAGUUACGACAUAGCCUGUAGGUUCCUACAAUGUAUUCGCAACGACCAGUUUAGUGACAGACCAAUUAUCUUGGUAGCUAAUAAAGUAGAUCUUGUGAGAAAAAGACAAAUAACCAAAGACGAGGCCAGAAAUCUAGCAUCGAAGUUCAAUUGUAAAUACAUAGAGACAUCAGCUACUUUGAAUAUAAAAGUGGACAAACUUCUUCUUGGAAUUUUGAAACAGAUAAAAAUUAAACUACAACCGGAGGUUACG